GCCCUUGUUGUCUAAUGGUUAUGACGUCAGACUUCUACCAUUGAAGCGUAUCUGGAGGUUGCGGGUUCGAGUCCCGCCAGGGGUU